rnacentral:rRNA from 1 species
AUUGAACGCUGGCGGCAUGCCUUACACAUGCAAGUCGAACGGCAGCAUGGGUGCUUGCACCUGAUGGCGAGUGGCGAACGGGUGAGUAAUGCAUCGGAACGUGCCCUGAAGUGGGGGAUAACGUAGCGAAAGUUACGCUAAUACCGCAUAUUCUGUGAGCAGGAAAGAGGGGGAUCGCAAGACCUCUUGCUUUGGGAGCGGCCGAUGUCGGAUUAGCUAGUUGGUGAGGUAAAGGCUCACCAAGGCGACGAUCCGUAGCGGGUCUGAGAGGACGACCAGCCACACUGGAACUGAGACACGGUCCAGACUCCUACGGGAGGCAGCAGUGGGGAAUUUUGGACAAUGGGCGCAAGCCUGAUCCAGCCAUUCCGCGUGCAGGAUGAAGGCCUUCGGGUUGUAAACUGCUUUUGUACGGAACGAAACGGUCUGCCCUAAUACGGCGGGCUAAUGACGGUACCGUAAGAAUAAGCACCGGCUAACUACGUG